GGAGAGAUGGCCGAGUGGUUUAUGGCUCCGGUCUUGAAAACCGGCAUAGUUUUUGAAACUAUCGAGGGUUCGAAUCCCUCUCUCUCCU
rnacentral:tRNA from 1 species